rfam:Nematostella vectensis strain CH2 x CH6 NEMVEscaffold_285_Cont22399, whole genome shotgun sequence.
CCUUCGAUAGCUCAGUUGGUAGAGCGGGGGACUGUAGAUUUAUAAUUGUGAUCCCUAGGUCACUGGUUCGAAUCCGGCUCGAAGGA